UUAUAUGGUCAAGCGAUUAAGCGCACACGGUGGAUGCCUAGGCAGCCAGAG
rnacentral:rRNA from 1 species